GUGCCAGCCGCCGCGGUAAUACGGAAGGUCCGGGCGUUAUCCGGAUUUAUUGGGUUUAAAGGGAGCGCAGGCGGAGGGUUAAGCGUGACGUGAAAUGUAGCCGCUCAACGGCUGAACUGCGUCGCGAACUGGCUUUCUUGAGUGAGUACGACGUCAGCGGAAUUCGUGGUGUAGCGGUGAAAUGCUUAGAUAUCACGAAGAACUCCGAUUGCGAAGGCAGCUGACGAGUCCUUUACUGACGCUAAAGCUCGAAGGUGCGGGUAUCGAACAGGAUUAGAUACCCUGGUAGUCCGCACGGUAAACGAUGGAUGCCCGCUGUUGGCGAUACAAUGUCAGCGGCCAAGGGAAACCGUUAAGCAUCCCACCUGGGGAGUACGCCGGCAACGGUGAAACUCAAAGGAAUUGACGGGGGCCCGCACAAGCGGAGGAACAUGUGGUUUAAUUCGAUGAUACGCGAGGAACCUUACCCGGGCCUGAACUGCAGCAGAACGAUUCAGAGAUGAUGAGGUCCUUCGGGACUGCUGUGGAGGUGCUGCAUGGUUGUCGUCAGCUCGUGCCGUGAGGUGUCGGCUUAAGUGCCAUAACGAGCGCAACCCUUUUCGCCAGUUGCCAUCAGGUGAUGCUGGGCACUCUGGGGACACUGCCACCGUAAGGUGUGAGGAAGGUGGGGAUGACGUCAAAUCAGCACGGCCCUUACGUCCGGGGCUACACACGUGUUACAAUGGGUGGUACAGAGAGUCGAGUGCCGGCAACGUCGCUCCAAUCCUUAAAGCCAUCCUCAGUUCGGAUUGGGGUCUGCAACCCGACCCCAUGAAGCUGGAUUCGCUAGUAAUCGCGCAUCAGCCAUGGCGCGGUGAAUACGUUCCCGGGCCUUGUACACACCGCCCGU
rnacentral:rRNA from 1 species